AGUUGGAAUUGAGUGAAACUAGUAUGGUUGGACUCAAAAUUGAAUGGGUUAUCAGAUAUUAUGAGUUUUGUCGGGUUCCGAGGCGCGGGCCUGGGUGCGAUUUUUUGCCGAAUUUGGGAUGUGAUUUAAGAUUCGAUCUCUAUCAUUUGGAAUUGUUUCCUUGGGCUUUAUUUGAAGUAUUUGAGUUUCUUUUGGCUAGUUUUUAGCCGUUCGAAGGUCAGUAUGCGCGUGAUGGCAUUUUUGGAGCAUCGCUUGGCUUGCUCAGUAUUGUAAUCUGCUUAUUCAAGAUUUUGGGGUAGAGCUGCUGGUGACGUCAAGUGUUGAUUCGGAAGAUGUUCGUGCGUUUGGUUAUAACUGCCACUUAUCCUUGGUAGUUUAGAUUAUUGCUAAUCUGUUUAUGUAACCUUCAAACAGAAUGUGUAUUUAUUUGUAUUAGUUUUGAAAUUCCAAAUCUUAGAAGCUCGUGAUUUGUACUACCAGGUCUUUGUAAAUUCGUAAACGCUCAAUUAUCUAUUUCCUUUUAUUUUAUAACCUCA